CCUACGGGUGGCAGCAGUGAGGAAUAUUGGUCAAUGGCCGGAAGGCUGAACCAGCCAAGCCGCGUGAAGGACGAAGGUGCCAAGCAUUGUAAACUUCUUUUGUCAAGGGACAAAAUCAGGCUCGAGAGCCUGACCGAGGGUACUUGAAGCAAAAGCAUCGGCUAACUCCGGGCCAGCAGCCGCGGUACUACGGGGGAUGCGAGGGUUAUCCGGAUUGAUUGGGGUUAAGGGGUGCGUAGGCGGGCUGUUAAGUCAGCGGUAAAAGCCCGGGGCCCACCCCCGGCGAGCCGUUGAAACUGGCUGUCUUGAGAUGUCGAGAGGUGUGCGGAAUGCGCAGUGUAGCGGUGAAAUGCUUAGAGAUCGCGCAGAACUCCGAUGGCGAAGGCAGCAUACCGGCGGCGAUCUGACGCUGAGGCACGAAAGCGUGGGUAUCGAACAGGAUUAGAUACCCCGGUAGUC
rnacentral:rRNA from 1 species